UGGGGAGUAGCGAAGUGGUAAGGCAACGGACUUUGAUUCUGUGAUCGUAGGUUCGAUCCCUACCUCCCUAA
rnacentral:tRNA from 1 species